rnacentral:rRNA from 1 species
UACAGAGGUCCCAAGCGUUGUUCGGAUUCACUGGGCGUAAAGGGUGCGUAGGCGGUCGGGUAAGUCUGAUGUGAAAUCUCACAGCUUAACUGUGAAACUGCAUUGGAUACUAUUCGGCUUGAGAGUUGGAGGGGGGACUGGAAUUCUUGGUGUAGCAGUGAAAUGCGUAGAUAUCAAGAGGAACACCAGUGGCGAAGGCGACGUCCUGGACCGGCAUUGACGCUGAGGCGCGAAAGCCAGGGGAGCAAACGGG